rnacentral:lncRNA from 10 species
CCUGAAUGCACGACCUUCUUUCUUUGAGCAAGAGGACAAACCUGGAGCAUUAGGAAGACAAGCAGGGCCUUCAGUAGGCAUAAGGUGAUGAGGUUCAUGCCGUUGGAUCCCACGGGUGCCCUGGGGAAGAGAUGGUUGGGAAGUCUGAGAGGAAGCAGGAGAGCUUUCGGAGCACAUGGAUGCCGUCCAGAAUGGAGAUGGUUGUGGCUCGGAAGAAAAAGAAAUCACCCAGCUCGGAGUCAGGAUACAUUUGGAGGUCCAGGCCGCCGAGUUUGCUGGUGGGGAAGAUAGGCACCAGAAAGGAAAGAGGACAUCCAGGGCAAUUUCUUCUGCCCCCCAGCCAAUCCGUACAUUGUCCAGAGGGUCUUGCUCUGUCAUCCAGGCUGGCGCGAUCUCGGCUCACUUUGACCUCUGCCUCCUGGGUUCAAGCGAUUCUCCUGUCACAGCCUCCUGAGCAGCUGGGAUUACAGGCAGGCACCACCAUGCUGAGCUAAUUUUUGUAUUUUUAGUAGAGACCAGGUUUCGCCAUGUUGCCCAGGCUACUCUCGAACUCCUGGCCUCAUGUGAUCCGCCCACCUCAGCCUCCCAAAGUGCUGGGAUUACAGGCGUGAGCCACUGCAACCAGCUGGAACAAUCUUGAUAUUAGGGUGAACAAGUGAUUUCAUAGCUUUCUCUGAAGGAGGAAACACUGGGAGCAUCCACCCGAGAAUCAACACUGUGGAUCAUUCUGGGGAGUUAAUAGUUUUGAGAUGUGUCCCAAGAUAAUUGUUAGCUUGAAUUACCACGUGGAUGGAACCAUGCUGAUCCUAAGAGCCAGGUAAUGGCCAAAGGUGCCAUUCAGGUGAAAUCCCCAGGUGGAAAAUUCUUCCACUUCCAAUGAUAGAAUUCUAUUACUCUGCCUAUAGUUUGGUGAAACAAGACUUUACAAAUAGAGGACAAGAUCCAUUUUGCCAAGAACAACCAUAUGGAUUUAACUGCUGCUAACAACCGUUAGGAAGGAACAUCAAUAAAAAGCAAGCCUGUGAGACAACUCCUUCCCCAAGGGGCGCUUGUUACAGAGCGCGGGCCCCAGCAGGCCUGGUCCAUCCUCCACAUUCUUUCCUCUCUGACUUAUUUUUACUUUCUGUUUGAAUUGGCUUGGUUUUAUUUUGCCCUAAACUGUGUCUGUAGUCAUCCCCCGACAGAGUUUUGAGAGUGAAAGUCCGAUCUGCCCACGCUUCACAGAACUCAAUGCGGAGCCUUCUCAGGAGUCACUUGACGUCAAGGCUGACUUUUAAAUUUGCCAAAAAGGCAUUCUUUGGGGAGCGGUCGGCACCAUCACUUUCCCUCUUUAGAGAGCUGCUACUGGCUGC